CAUCUCCCCCUAGUCCUCCUCUGCUCCCCGCCCUUGGAGGAGAAGGAGCCGGUGGUGAGCUCCAGCGCCCGAGUUUGGAGCGGGUGUGACUCUCCCCGCUCUAGGCGAAUCUCUCCCCUCUUGACUGCAGCGGAGACUUGAACGCCACGCUUGGUCCAGGGACAACUAAUAACAAUCCCCGACAAAUUCAAAAGAGGUUUUUUGUUUUUGUUUUUUGGGUUUGUUUGUUUGUUUGUUUGUUUUUAGACACAGAAAAACACAUACACACGCACACACGCACACACACACACACACACCGCUAUACAAACUUCUUGAGUGAAGAGCAAUACACAAACUCUCCCUCCUCUAACUCAGCCCAGCCUCCCCCCUUAACCCACCUCUUCCCCAUCUCAAAAAUCCCACCACCACCACCCAGCAGAGACUGUCAGAACAUUUGAAAACAAAUGGGACCUAUAAAAACAGACCCUUUGUGUGGAUUAUAUGAUAUAUAAAAUACUCCAAGUCCUGCUUGAUGAUAUCUAUUUACAAUGAGACUUUUUAAAAAGGAAGCAUCAAAAAAGGCUUAAGAUGCUCUCUGUUUUGCGAGUUUCACCUUCAGUACCAGGAGCUCGGCUAAGUUUUCGCUCAUCCCUGCCACCACCCAGCCCCAAUCCAAACAGGUUUGGAGCAAGGCUUCGGGGGUUGAGGGCCCAGCUCCGGAGUUGACUUCUCCAGCCCCGCCAGAGCUCGCUGUCUAAGUUUCUGAUCCACUAGGAGUUUAUUUUAUUUUAUUUUAUUUUUUGCCGUUGUCAUUGUUCUUUUCCCCUCUGUGGCUUCCUACCUGAUGAGUGGGAGGUGGGGGUGGGGAUGAGAGUAUUGAGAAUUACGGUAUUUUCUUUAAAAAAUUACUAUUUUGAGAUCAGAUUCGUGCACCUGAAUGCAUGUGUGGACUUUUCGUUAAAUCGUUAAAAGUCAUGUAAAAAUGAUUUUCUUCUAUUCAGAUGAAAACUUUAUUUAUUUUAACUCUAAUCUUAUUUGCAUCUAUUAUCUGUAUUCACCAAGGCUCUCUUCCACUACAAAAAUGCAGAUGAAGUAAAUCUUACAUAAAUCCCGCCCAUUUGUGUAAUUGGUAUACUAAGUGUUUAUUUUAAGUGAGAAUAAUUUAGCUACAAAUUUUCUUAAGGAAUAACAUUCUUAACACAUUAAAAAAACUGAAAAC